UGGUGGAGUGAUUUGUCUGCUUAAUUGCGAUAACGAACGAGACCUUAACCUGCUAAAUAGUUACGUGAACCUUUGCGUUCGUGGACAACUUCUUAGAGGGACUUAUGCGUGUUUUAACCAAAGGAAGUUUGAGGCAAUAACA
rnacentral:rRNA from 1 species